AGGUGGUGAAAUUGGUAGACGCGGUGGAUUCAAAAUCCACUUCUGUAACAGGAGUGCCGGUUCGAGUCCGGCCUUGGGUACCA
rnacentral:tRNA from 1 species